UUUCUACUUUUUUUAUUCAGAUAAAAUUGUCUGAAAAUAAAUGAUAAGUUAAAAAAAACCUAAAAUACACAAAUGUCUGAAAAAAAAAGUUAAAUUCAGACUUCAGACAAAAAAACAAACAGCACCUAACUUGUAUUUAACUAGUGGAAAAAAAUAUAAAUAUGUUAAUAUAAGUCAAAAUAACACAUGUUCAAAAUAACACGUGUAAAACGUUUAAAUAUAUUAAGUAUUUGAGAUUCAAAUUUGGGUGGCCAACCAAAGUAUUGAGUUUUAAUCCAAUGGUUAGUUUUGGAUUAAGGGCCAGUUUGGUAAUACUAUAACUUUUAAAGUGAUUGCUAUUAGUUGUACUUAGAGAUAGCCAAAGGGCCGGACGGCACGGGCCCGACAUGUGUCCUUAUAGCACGGAAAAACAUGAGCACAUUUCGAUGGGACACGUGGCACGGCAUCGCAUGACACGCACAUGGCUAGGCUGAGCUUAGAAUUUUAGGCAUGUGGGCCUUAAAAGUACUACACGAUUAGAGAUAGGAUAAAGCACGGCAUAGGAAAAAGCCCACAAUAAGCACAUUUUAUUUUUUAAAUGAAAGUAGACUUAAAAUUUUAUGAUUUUACAAAUAACUUGAAAUUGAAUUUUUUAUUUUAUUUUGUUAGUGCAAGUUUUCUAAAUUCAUUUAAUGCUUAGUUAAAAAAUACUAAAAUUGAUUUAUGUUUAUAAUUUAUCAAAUAAUUAAUUAAUAUCAUGAUUUUAAUAAAUAAAAUUAUAAAUAUUAUGAUUUAUAAAUAUGUAUUAAUAUUAUUAUGAACUAUAAUUUAUUACUCUAUAUAAGUCCGAGAUAACAAUUAAGUUAACCCUAAAGAAAAAUUUAUUAUUGUUUUCGUUGUUAAGUAUUAAAAAAGAAUUAUAAUACCAUAUGCUUAAACUUAAUAAUUAUUAUUACAUUCUCUUACUAUUAUUAGUUUAUUUUAUUGAAUGUAGACUUGAGUUUGAAUUUUUGAUUUUAUAAAAUUUGAAUAAAAGCACGCGGACCCAAAAAAGUACAAAAGUUUGAAAAAUAUACCAACAACUUAGUUUGCGCACUUAAAAAAGAAGAAGCUUAUCAUGCUCUUUUCCUUAGGCACGACACAGUACAGCCCAUGGGACGGCACGUGCCAAACUAGGCCUAAGCAAAACAAAAUUAGGCACGGCACGGCAUGACACGAGCACAAGCACACAUGAGCCUUCCUUUAAUGGCCGGCCUAUCCCAUUGGCCAUCUCUAGUUGUACUAGAUAAUCAACUAUGAAGAGAAUUACUUAAGCGUUGACUAAAAUUCGUAUUAUUAAUUUUAUUUUUUAUUUUGUUAUCUCAAUGUAAUUGGUAAUAAAAUCUC
rnacentral:lncRNA from 1 species